rnacentral:rRNA from 1 species
AUUGAACGCUGGCGGCAGGCCUAACACAUGCAAGUCGAGCGGUAACAGGAAGGAAGCUUGCUUUCUUUGCUGACGAGCGGCGGACGGGUGAGUAAUGCCUGGGAAAUUGCCCUGAUGUGGGGGAUAACCAUUGGAAACGAUGGCUAAUACCGCAUGAUGCCUACGGGCCAAAGAGGGGGACCUUCGGGCCUCUCGCGUCAGGAUAUGCCCAGGUGGGAUUAGCUAGUUGGUGAGGUAAUGGCUCACCAAGGCGACGAUCCCUAGCUGGUCUGAGAGGAUGAUCAGCCACACUGGAACUGAGACACGGUCCAGACUCCUACGGGAGGCAGCAGUGGGGAAUAUUGCACAAUGGGCGCAAGCCUGAUGCAGCCAUGCCGCGUGUAUGAAGAAGGCCUUCGGGUUGUAAAGUACUUUCAGUCGUGAGGAAGGGGGUAUCGUUAAUAGCGGUAUUCUUUGACGUUAGCGACAGAAGAAGCACCGGCUAACUCCGUGCCAGCAGCCGCGGUAAUACGGAGGGUGCGAGCGUUAAUCGGAAUUACUGGGCGUAAAGCGCAUGCAGGUGGUUUGUUAAGUCAGAUGUGAAAGCCCGGGGCUCAACCUCGGAGUUGCAUUUGAAACUGGCAGGCUAGAGUACUGUAGAGGGGGGUAGAAUUUCAGGUGUAGCGGUGAAAUGCGUAGAGAUCUGAAGGAAUACCGGUGGCGAAGGCGGCCCCCUGGACAGAUACUGACACUCAGAUGCGAAAGCGUGGGGAGCAAACAGG